CAGACAUAGACACAAGCGCGCGUGCCCAGGUCGUUACCAUGGAGAUCUAAACACAGCGGCUGUCACGUGCUGUGACGUGAGGUAGCGAGUGAGUGAUCUAGCUUGUCUCAGGAGUAACAGUAAGCUAAUCGCGAGAAGGUUCGAGAAGGAGAGGAUGGAGGGUAAAAAGAGGACAAGAGGAGCUGACAAAGCCAGGUUUAAAACAGAAAGGGCGUUGGAGGAUGACGCGGCCAAAGGUGCCAUACUGACAGAUACCUUUUCAAGAGGACAAAGCGACUUACAUUCAAGUUUAAUACAGAUGAGUCUGAUGCUGAGGGAAGAGGGAAAGAGAAAGGGACCCAGACAGUGAUCUUCAGUGAGACAACAGCUCAGGUUCCUGAGCCACAUGUGAAUGCUAGUGUAGAUAAGGAGACUGAGUAAGACACGUUUGGAAUAGCUCUGCUGAUUUUCAUUUAAAUUUCAUUAAAACAAGGCAAAUGCAAUCGGCUAUUGACGGCCACCAUACAACUCUCAAACAACUUGAACAAGCCGCAACACCUUCAUUGGAUGCUGUCGCAACCCUUCAGGCUCAAGUAAAAAGUAUGUCCGCAGAAAUAUCUGAGGAGAAAUGUAUUGAUCUGGAAGGCCAUGCUAAGAGGCAAAAUCUCAGGUUUGGUUUGAAGUGUUUGGCUUGGAAGAGUUACCUCUUUUAGACUGAGCGUACUGAGCCCUUUGCUCCUGUCCCGAGGACACUGAGUCACCAUGGCAGUUCAUUGACCGGCUGCACUAUUGCCAUGUUUUGGAGAAUAUAAUGCGCAGAGUGUCAUUGCUAGGCAAGCUGUCUUUCAACGGCUGUCCCAUCCAGAUAUUCAGAGACUUCCCUGCUGCUGUGGUCAAACGUCGAGCGGCAUUUGGCAAAAUGGUCAUGCAGAAGAUCGCCAUGGUGAUGGCAAUUGUAGGAGGGUCUAAAUGGGGAGAGCUGUUUGGGUAUAAAAACAAGGAACCAGAAGGGGUCAAACUUCACACCAACCCAAAGCAGAGAGGAACAGAGAAGAAUCCAUCUGAAUAAAAGCACUUCCCGUCUCACUGAGCUAUGUCUGGAAGCCUGUACGUCAUUUUGUACAUCAUGCUGCUCAAAGCAGUUUCCUGUACUACUGUCUUACCCCCAGUCACUGAAAGUGCUACAACAGAGAGCACCACUACUUUAUCCACUCCUGUAACUGAUCCACCUACUACUACUACUACUACUACUACUACUACUACUCCUCCUCCUCCUACUACGACUACUACUCCUACUACAACUACUACUCCUACUACGAGUACUACUAAUACUACUACUAAUACUACUACUACCCCUGAGCCUGAAACAAACACAAACUCCACUGGAACUCCAGACCCAGGUACAAUCGAACCCAUGACCAACUCCACUGUCGGCCCCGGUGGCAAUACACAGAGUGGUUUAACCGCAGGCGAGGCAGCAGGAGUAGCAGUAGGCACAAUCGCCGGGGUGGGCUUGCUGGGUGGAGGGAUAUAUGCUGGCUUGAAGUACAGUGGAAAACUAGGCUAACCUCACCUUUACAUUCUUCUUAUUCGUCAUAUUUUCCGCCACCUGGAAUGUGCUCAGGCCAAGAGAACAGUUGUUCUUCCACAGAAGAGCGAUGGACUUAUACAAGUUCUGUGACAUGACCUGCAGUUGCCAUGCAAUCAUACAAAACUUUUAAAUUAAAUGUAUAACAAUAAGUUUCAUACAAAUUCAUUUUAUUUGAAUAUUUUGUAAUUUUACAUUUGACAUUUUAUUCAUAUAUACAUUUAUUUUAUUUCUCAGUAUCAGUGUUCGUGCCUGCUCCAUGUUUACAUUUCAUUCUUGUUCUACUGAUCGAUGUUAGGCUCAAAUAAGAAGUUUAUGGUACGCCAAUUUAACCAUCACAUUGUCAACAUGUACCAAAUGUACGUGCAGCAUUACAGGAACAGCGGAGAUAAUGCCAAGAGAUAACAGGGUAUAUGUGUGUGUGUGCAUGUGUGUGUGUCCAAACAGACAUUUGAGUUUAGUGUAAUGACGUUAGAACAAUGGUGUGAGAUUAGAGCAGGUAGUAGGGCAUCUUUUUAAAUGGAAUGUAAAUCAAUAAACGCUUUUCCUCUUAAAGAAGAAAAAAGCAGAAAACAAAAAAGGAGAGAUAUUUAUUUCUUCUUCACUUUUUAACAGAUCAUUUCCUCAUUUUAGAUCACUUAGAUUCUAUUCUGAUGAAUAAACACUACAAUAAAUUAGAUUAAAGCC